rnacentral:rRNA from 1 species
GAUGAACGCUGGCGGCGUGCCUUAGGCACGCAAGUCGAACGGGAAGUCUUCGGACUUCUAGUGGCGGAAGGGUGAGUAACGCGUGGGAACGUACCUAUUGGUGGAGAAUAGCUCGCCGAAAGGCGGGAUAAUUCUGCAUAAGACCGCAAGGUGAAAGGGCUUAACCGCCCGCCGAUAGAGCGGCCUGCGUCCUAUCAGCUUGUUGGCGAGGUUACGGCUCACCAAGGCGACGAUCAGUAGCUGGUCUGAGAGGAUGAGCAGCCACACUGGGACUGAGACACGGCCCAGACUCCUACGGGAGGCAGCAGUGGGGAAUAUUGGACAAUGGGGGCAACCCUGAUCCAGCCAUGCCGCGUGAGUGAUGACGGCCUUAGGGUUGUAAAGCUCUUUUCUCCGGGACGAUAAUGACGGUACCGGAGGAAUAAGCCCCGGCUAACUUCGUGCCAGCCGCCGCCGUAA